rnacentral:rRNA from 1 species
CACAUGACUCUCGGCAACGGAUAUCUCGGCUCUUGCAUCGAUGAAGAACGUAGCAAAAUGCGAUACCUGGUGUGAAUUGCAGAAUCCCGUGAACCAUCGAGUUUUUGAACGCAAGUUGCGCCGGAGGCCUUUUGGCCGAGGGCACGUCUGCCUGGGCGUCACGC